CGACCCGGCCAUAGCGGCCGGGCAACACCCGGUCCCAUUUCGAACCCGGAAGUUAAGCCGGCCGCGUUGGGGGUAGCUGUGGAGUCCG
rnacentral:rRNA from 1 species